rnacentral:rRNA from 1 species
GGGUUUAGAACGUCGUGAGACAGUUCGGUCCCUAUCUGCCGUGGGCGCUGGAGAAUUGAGGGGGGCUGCUCCUAGUACGAGAGGACCGGAGUGGACGCAUCACUGGUGUUCGGGUUGUCAUGCCAAUGGCACUGCCCGGUAGCUAAAUGCGGAAGAGAUAAGUGCUGAAAGCAUCUAAGCACGAAACUUGCCCCGAGAUGAGUUCUCCCUGAGACUUUAAGUCUCCUGAAGGAACGUUGAAGACGACGACGUUGAUAGGUCGGGUGUGUAAGCGCAGCGAUGCGUUGAGCUAACCGAUACUAAUGAACCGUGAGGCUUAACCUUACAACGCCGAAGCUGUU